GACAUUCACGAGGCUGGGCUAAGAGAAGUGUAUGAGACGGCAACGCCACACUGCUGAAAACCAGUGCUGCCAAAGGAUCCCACCUAAUUUGCAUCAUGAGGAGAGAGUUUCCCAGAAUCCACGGUGACUGACUUGGCCGCUGGAGAGAGAAGACUAUCCAGAUGUUGAAAACUACUGACCCCCACACGUAGUUAACCCUCCUGGGCUGGUGGUAGUGAGCACACCGCCAUCUUGCCCACACAGAGGUGAGAAGAAGUUACCAGGCAACACAGCUGGAAAAGGAAGUCACCUGACUCUGAAAUGGAAAAUUCCACAAGCCCGCCUUUUAAAAACAGCCUGCCUUUAGACGCAAGCCCACUUUGUCCCCAGCUUGUAAAACAGCCAAGCAAAGAAGGAGCCAGUUCAGAGGCCCUUCCUUUCCUCAGUGCUGCCUCCCUUGUACUCGAACACAAGCUUAAUAAAAUCUGUCUGGAUAUUU